CAAUAGCAUAUAUUAACGUUGUUGCAGUUGAAAAGCUCGUAGUUGAACUUUUGGUAGGAGCGACCUGGCCUUGGGCGCAUGCCCUUGUUUGCCGUGUGUCGUGUCUGGCCAUCCUUUUCUUCGUUUUUCGGAGGAAUCUUUUACUGUGAGUAAACUGGAGUGCUCAAAACAAGACGUUUGUUUGGUACAUUAAAGCACGGAAUAAUAAGAUAGGACCUGGUUACUAUUUUGUUGGUUUGCAUAGCUAGGUAAUGAUUAACAGGGACAGUUGGGGGUAUUCGUAUUUAAUUGUCAGAGGUGAAAUUCUUGGAUUUAUGAAAGACGAACGACUGCGAAAGCAUUUACCAAGGAUGUUUUCAUUAA
rnacentral:rRNA from 1 species